rnacentral:rRNA from 1 species
CGGGAAAGCCGUGACGAGCAACGCCGACGUGAGUGAUGAAGGUCUUCGGAUCGUAAAACUCUGUUAUUAGGGAAGAACAAAUGUGUAAGUAACUAUGCACGUCUUGACGGUACCUAAUCAGAAAGCCACGGCUAACUACGUGCCAGCAGCCGCGGUAAUACGUAGGUGGCAAGCGUUAUCCGGAAUUAUUGGGCGUAAAGCGCGCGUAGGCGGUUUUUUUAAGUCUGAUGUGAAAGCCCACGGCUCAACCGUGGAGGGUCAUUGGAAACUGGAAAACUUGAGUGCAGAAGAGGAAAGUGGAAUUCCAUGUGUAGCGGUGAAAUGCGCAGAGAUAUGGAGGAACACCAGUGGCGAAGGCGACUUUCUGGUCUGUAACUGACGCUGAUUGCGAAAGCGUGGGGAUCAAACAGGAUUAGAUACCCUGGUAGUCCACGCCGUAAACGAUGAGUGCUAAGUGUUAGGGGGUUUCCGCCCCUUAGUGCUGCAGCUAACGCAUUAAGCACUCCGCCUGGGGAGUACGACCGCAAGGUUGAAACUCAAAGGAAUUGACGGGGACCC